rnacentral:rRNA from 1 species
UACGUAGGGGGCAAGCGUUGUCCGGAAUCAUUGGGCGUAAAGAGCGUGUAGGCGGCCCGGUAAGUCCGCUGUGAAAGUCGGGGGCUCAACCCUCGAAUGCCGGUGGAUACUGUCGGGCUAGAGUGCGGAAGAGGCGAGUGGAAUUCCUGGUGUAGCGGUGAAAUGCGCAGAUAUCAGGAGGAACACCAAUAGCGAAGGCAGCUCGCUGGGACGGUACUGACGCUGAGGCGCGAAAGCGUGGGGAGCAAACAGG